rnacentral:misc_RNA from 1 species
UUUCCGUAGGUGAACCUGCGGAAGGAUCAUUCAUAAUACGUGUUUUAUGGCACUUUUUUAAAUCCAUAUCCACCUUGUGUGCAAUGUCAGGGUUGAUUUUUCUCUCGAGAGGAUCAACCCCAAACAUCAACUAUAUCUCAACUCUUUGUCUGAAAAAUAUUAUGAAUAAAACAAUUCAAAGUACAACUUUCAACAACGGAUCUCUUGGCUCUC